rnacentral:rRNA from 1 species
GAUGAACGCUGGCGGCGUGCCUAAUACAUGCAAGUCGAGCGAACGGACGAGAAGCUUGCUUCUCUGAUGUUAGCGGCGGACGGGUGAGUAACACGUGGAUAACCUACCUAUAAGACUGGGAUAACUUCGGGAAACCGGAGCUAAUACCGGAUAAUAUUUUGAACCGCAUGGUUCAAAAGUGAUAGACGGUCUUGCUGUCACUUAUAGAUGGAUCCGCGCUGCAUUAGCUAGUUGGUAAGUUAACGGCUUACCAAGGCAACGAUGCAUAGCAGACCUGAGAGGGUGAUCGGCCACAAGGGAAAUGAGAAACGGUCAAGACUCCUACGGGAGGAAGCAGUAGGGAAUCUUCCGGAAUGGGCGAAAGCCUGAAGGAGCAAAGCAGCGUGAGUGAUGAAGGUCUUCGGAUCGUAAAACUCUGUUAUUAGGGAAGAACAUAUGUGUAAGUAACUGUGCAAAUCUUGACGGUACCUAAUCAGAAAGCCACGGCUAACUACGUG